rnacentral:rRNA from 1 species
AUUGAACGCUGGCGGCAGGCCUAACACAUGCAAGUCGAGCGGAUAAAGCGAGCUUGCUCCUGGAUUCAGCGGCGGACGGGUGAGUCAUGCCUAGGAAUCUGCCUGGUCGUGGGGGAUAACGUCCGGAAACGGGCGCUAAUACCGCAUCCGUCCUGAGGGAGAACGUGGGUGAUCUUCGGACCUCACGCUAUCAGAUGAGCCUAGGUCCGAUUAGCUAGUUGGUGGGGUAACGGCCUACCAAGGCGACGAUCCGUAACUGGUCUGAGAGGAUGAUCAGUCACACUGGAACUGAGACACGGUCCAGACUCCGACGGGAGGCAGCAGUCGGGAAUAUUGGACAAUGGGCGAAAGCCUGAUCCAGCCAUGCCGCGUGUGUGAAGAAGGUCUUCGGAUUGUAAAGCACUUUAAGUUGGGAGGAAGGGCAGUAAGUUAAUACCUUGCUGUUAUGACGUUACCAACAGAAUAAGCACCGGCUAACUUCGUG